rnacentral:rRNA from 1 species
CUACGGGGGGCUGCAGUGAGGAAUAUUGGACAAUGGGGGAAACCCUGAUCCAGCGAUGCCGCGUGAAUGAAGAAGGCCUUCGGGUUGUAAAGUUCUUUCACUCGUGACGAUGAUGACGGUAGCGAGAGAAGAAGCUCCGGCUAACUCUGUGCCAGCAGCCGCGGUAAGACAGAGGGAGCUAGCGUUGUUCGGAAUGACUGGGCGUAAAGGGUGCGUAGGCGGCUAUUUAAGUAAGGUGUUAAAUCCCUGGGCUCAACCCAGGAAUCGCGCUUUAAACUGGGUAGCUUGAGUGUGGCAGAGGAAAGUGGAAUUCCUAGUGUAGAGGUGAAAUUCGUAGAUAUUAGGAGGAACACCAGAGGCGAAGGCGGCUUUCUGGGCCACAACUGACGCUGAGGCACGAAAGCGUGGGGAGCAAACAGGAUUAGAUACCCCCGUAGUC